rnacentral:rRNA from 1 species
CAUGAAGCUGGAAUCGCUAGUAAUCGCGGAUCAGCAUGCCGCGGUGAAUACGUUCCUGGGCUUUGUACACACCGCCCGUCAAACCAUGAAAGUUGGGAACACCCGAAGCCAGUGAGCUAACCGAAAGGAGGCAGCUGUCGAAGGUGGGUUCAAUGAUUGGGGUUAAGUCGUAACAAGGUACC